UACAGAGGUCUCAAGCGUUGUUCGGAUUCAUUGGGCGUAAAGGGUGCGUAGGCGGCGCGGUAAGUCGGGUGUGAAAUCUUGGAGCUUAACUCCGAAACUGCAUUCGAUACUGCCGUGCUUGAGGACCGGAGAGGAGACUGGAAUUUACGGUGUAGCGGUGAAAUGCGUAGAUAUUGUAAGGAAGACCAGUGGCGAAGGCGGGUCUCUGGACAGUUCCUGACGCUGAAGCACGAAGGCCAGGGGAGCAAACGGG
rnacentral:rRNA from 1 species